AUGCAGUAAUGGUCCCUGGAGGGUAUCGAGGAGAUCCUCGGGAGGAAGGUGCGCGUCGACCGCCUCGACAACAGGACGCAAGAGCGCGACGACAUGAAGACAUUCGCCUGCUGGGUUUGGACCAACGACGUCACCCACAUCCCCACCAAGCACACGUCUGGGGUCCUGCCGCGCGGCGCAGGGCGCAUCGAGGAGAUGCAGGGCUACUCGCAGCCCGACCGUCGCGUCGCUCCACCGCCGGGCACCACGGACUACACCAUGCUCAUCCACAUCGACAGGGUUGAAGAUUGGACACCUCCAUCGCUGCGCUCCUCCCACUCCGCCCAAAGCGGGCUGCCGUCAUCCGACUCCGACACCGACAACCGGCCCCGCUUCACGGUGAUCCCUGCCACCUGGACCAUGGAGGUCGAGGAUGGACAGCGGGGUGAUCGCCUCCAGCGCCUUGGGCGUGCACCGGUGGCUGACCUGGGCUGCCGGGGCAUGCCAUGGGGUAGGCGCGACCACGACGACGCUGGUGGAGCUGGAGGCGGGGACGUCGUUCCUGGAAGGACACCUUGCUGCGACGAGGACACACGCCGGCUCAGCCGGCGCCGGCGCUGGCGCCCGCUCAUCACCACCGCAGCCGCUCCCCUCCUGCCAGACGCCACCACAAGGACACGCGCAGCCGCAGUGCGGGCAACAGGAGGUCGUCAACGGGCGACUCCCAACAACGCCAGCGCUGGCCAUCCGCUCCUCGCUCGCCACGGGCGUCGGCAGGCUCGGGGGCGGCACAAGAUGCCAUCAGCAACAACAAAGGAAAAGACUCGGUCGACGGCUUCUUCAGGGAGGCAAGGCGGCCCAUCCUUGCCUCGGUGA
rnacentral:rRNA from 1 species